rnacentral:rRNA from 1 species
CCUACGGGAGGCUGCAGUGAGGAAUAUUGGUCAAUGGGCGCGAGCCUGAACCAGCCAAGUCGCGUGAGGGAAGACGGUUCUAUGGAUUGUAAACCUCUUUUGUCGGGGAGCAAAAGACGCCACGCGUGGCGUUCCGAGAGUACCCGAAGAAAAAGCAUCGGCUAACUCCGUGCCAGCAGCCGCGGUAAUACGGAGGAUGCGAGCGUUAUCCGGAUUUAUUGGGUUUAAAGGGUGCGCAGGCGGAAGAUCAAGUCAGCGGUAAAAUUGAGAGGCUCAACCUCUUCGAGCCGUUGAAACUGGUGUUCUUGAGUGAGUGAGAGGUAUGCGGAAUGCGUGGUGUAGCGGUGAAAUGCAUAGAUAUCACGCAGAACUCCGAUUGCGAAGGCAGCAUACCGGCGCUCAACUGACGCUCAUGCACGAAAGUGUGGGGAUCGAACAGGAUUAGAUACCCUGGUAGUC